rnacentral:piRNA from 1 species
UGAUAUCCAAAUGGGACC